UUGCAGCUUAUUAAGCCGACCAGCUUUUGCUGUCAUCUCAAGUUGGUGUGCAAUGGCUGCAUACAGUAACCUCCUGGGUUGUGUAUGUGCUUUGUCUCUCGUACAAAGUGCUUUAAGGGACCUUGGAGACACCA